rnacentral:rRNA from 1 species
GGAUGCGAUCAUACCAGCACUAAAGCACCGGAUCCCAUCAGAACUCCGAAGUUAAGCAUGCUUGGGCGAGAGUAGUACAAGGAUGGGUGACCUCCUGGGAAGUCCUCAUGUUGCAUUCC